rnacentral:lncRNA from 1 species
GGGGUCGGGGACAUGUUAGAUAGAGUGUGUAAAUAUAGCAAAAAGGACGUAAAGUUUGUAGAGUCAUGUGUUUGAGGUGUUUCCCAGUAAACCAUUCGUUAUCACAAUUUAUUUUCUUCAACUACAAAAGCUAAAAUUUCCGACAAGAGUUGGCCUACUUUCAUUUUCCAUUUAUUUUGAAACAUAUCAUUCUAUUUUUUCUAAAAAAAUUAUUGACAUAUAAUUCCACGUGAAUGAAUAUGAUACUUCGUUUUUUCUAAAGUUAGUUGAAGAAAAAUUGACAAUUCUAGUAUAAUAGUAUUGUGAUCCGAUUUGAUCAAUGCAAUAUAUGGACUUAAAAAGUUUGAACUUUAUUUGAUAUUAUGACUCGUUUUGAGUUCUAUCCCAUGAAAUAAAUGGAUAAAUGACCUGAUAUUAUUAUUUGUGGACCUAAUUUUAAGAAAUUCUCUGUGACAUUGUUUCCAAGACUUUAUAAUUUUAUUAUUGCCAGUUUCAUAUGAUUAGGUAGAUGGGUUGAUUAGACUUUUACGUUUGAAAAGAUCGGGAAACUUUUUUUUCUUUUAUGGAAAAGUCCAGAAACUUGCCACAAUGUCAUGUACCAAGAACCAGUGACAAUCUCUAGACAACACCUACUGAUGAAUGUUUUGUUAGUACAGAGAAGAAAGUCAUGACCAAAGAAAGAAGUGUGUGUUUCUCUAAUUUUUGGUUUUAGCUAUCUCCGAAGAUUUUCAAACACUUAUCGGUUUUACAUAGAAACACGUAGUUUCACGGAGAUCGACAUCAAAGCAAUGUGUUAUACAGACAUGUUGAACUGAGAUAGGGACCAUGAGAGCACAUGGAAGGUUUGGUCCCAUUUGGUAUAAUCAGUCUUUGUCUCUCUUUCAUCACCGUUAACAAGUCUACAUUUAUGUCUUGAUAGCUUAGACAAGACAUGAAAUGAAUCAUA